rnacentral:snRNA from 1 species
GGGGUGGGGAAGCGGCUCAUGACCAUCUAAUGCACCUAGUAUGCACCCACAUUUUUGGAACACACAGGCCAGGGUCUUCUACUUCCCCACCGCUCCAUGUGUGUCCACUGAAAGCUGCGUGCUUGGUGGGAGAGAACGGCCUUCCGAGGAUAGAGAUGGGCCGUUCUUUGGUGGAGGGUAUACAUGCAGCUGUGCUCCCUGCUAGGCCCUCUGAGCAAGCUCAGGGAUCAGUGGUACAUCUUGUUUCACAUUCCUGACUAACUUAAACUCUG